AUGUACCACGCAUCCACUCCGGUUCUGAGCGCGUCGUCCACACCCAGCUGACCGCUGCUCGCUACGUUCUGUUAGCC
rnacentral:sRNA from 2 species